CAUAGACCCAGCUGUCUUCCUCUCCCUGGCCAUCAGCCUCACCUGCACCCAGCUGUCUUCCUCUCCCUGGCCAUCAGCCUCGCCUAAACAAAAGUAGUGCACUAUAUAGGGAAUGCCAUUUGGAACACAGUUUCAACCAUGGUGGAAAUAGCAAACAUAUUAUGACUUUUGAAGUUAGCUAAGUCCCAUGGAAUGUGUUCUUCCAGGCUGCAUAGAGGACAAGAGGAGACAACAGUACAGGUUAUCUUUCAGGCUGCGUAGAGGACAAGAGGAGACAACAGUACAGGUUAUCUUUCAGGCUGCGUAGAGGACAAGAGGAGACAACAGUACAGGUUAUCUUUCAGGCUGCGUAGAGGACAAGAGGAGACAACAGUACAGGUUAUCUUUCAGGCUGCGUAGAGGACAAGAGGAGACAACAGUACAGGUUAUCUUUCAGGCUGCGUAGAGGACAAGAGGAGACAACAGUACAGGUUAUCUUUCAGGCUGCGUAGAGGACAAGAGGAGACAACAGUACAGGUUAUCUUUCAGGCUGCGUAGAGGACAAGAGGAGACAACAGUACAGGUUAUCUUUCAGGCUGCGUAGAGGACAAGAGGAGACAACAGUACAGGUUAUCUUUCAGGCUGCGUAGAGGACAAGAGGAGACAACAGUACAGGUUAUCUUUCAGGCUGCGUAGAGGACAAGAGGAGACAACAGUACAGGUUAUCUUUCAGGCUGCGUAGAGGACAAGAGGAGACAACAGUACAGGUUAUCUUUCAGGCUGCGUAGAGGACAAGAGGAGACAACAGUACAGGUUAUCUUUCAGGCUGCGUAGAGGACAAGAGGAGACAACAGUACAGGUUAUCUUUCAGGCUGCGUAGAGGACAAGAGGAGACAACAGUACAGGUUAUCUUUCAGGCUGCGUAGAGGACAAGAGGAGACAACAGUACAGGUUAUCUUUCAGGCUGCGUAGAGGACAAGAGGAGACAACAGUACAGGUUAUCUUUCAGGCUGCGUAGAGGACAAGAGGAGACAACAGUACAGGUUAUCUUUCAGGCUGCGUAGAGGACAAGAGGAGACAACAGUACAGGUUAUCUUUCAGGCUGCGUAGAGGACAAGAGGAGACAACAGUACAGGUUAUCUUUCAGGCUGCGUAGAGGACAAGAGGAGACAACAGUACAGGUUAUCUUUCAGGCUGCGUAGAGGACAAGAGGAGACAACAGUACAGGUUAUCUUUCAGGCUGCGUAGAGGACAAGAGGAGACAACAGUACAGGUUAUCUUUCAGGCUGCGUAGAGGACAAGAGGAGACAACAGUACAGGUUAUCUUUCAGGCUGCGUAGAGGACAAGAGGAGACAACAGUACAGGUUAUCUUUCAGGCUGCGUAGAGGACAAGAGGAGACAACAGUACAGGUUAUCUUUCAGGCUGCGUAGAGGACAAGAGGAGACAACAGUACAGGUUAUCUUUCAGGCUGCGUAGAGGACAAGAGGAGACAACAGUACAGGUUAUCUUUCAGGCUGCGUAGAGGACAAGAGGAGACAACAGUACAGGUUAUCUUUCAGGUUGCGUAGAGGACCAGGGGAGAGAACAGUACAGGUUAUCUUUCAGGCUGCGUAGACGACAAGAGGAGACAACAGUACAGGUUAUCUUUCAGGCUGCGUAGAGGACAAGAGGAGACAACAGUACAGUUAUCUUUCAGGCUGCGUAGAGGACAAGAGGAGACAACAGUACAGGUUAUCAAAACAUUUGCAAGCAUUUCUAAAAAACUGUUUUUGCUUUGCUA